GAUGAACGCUGGCGGCGUGCCUAAUACAUGCAAGUCGAGCGAACAGACGAGGAGCUUGCUCCUCUGACGUUAGCGGCGGACGGGUGAGUAACACGUGGAUAACCUACCUAUAAGACUUGGAUAACUUCGGGAAACCGGAGCUAAUACCGGAUAAUAUAUUGAACCGCAUGGUUCAAUAGUGAAAGACGGUUUUGCUGUCACUUAUAGAUGGAUCCGCGCCGCAUUAGCUAGUUGGUAAGGUAACGGCUUACCAAGGCGACGAUGCGUAGCCGACCUGAGAGGGUGAUCGGCCACACUGGAACUGAGACACGGUCCAGACUCCUACGGGAGGCAGCAGUAGGGAAUCGUCCGCAAUGGGCGAAAGCCUGACGGAGCAACGCCGCGUGAGUGAUGAAGGUCUUCGGAUCGUAAAACUCUGUUAUUAGGGAAGAACAAAUGUGUAAGUAACUAUGCACGUCUUGACGGUACCUAAUCAGAAAGCCACGGCUAACUACGUG
rnacentral:rRNA from 1 species